rnacentral:rRNA from 1 species
AGUGAACGCUGGCGGCGUGCUUAACACAUGCAAGUCGAACGAGAACGGAAUAUAGCUUGCUAUAUUUGUCAGCUAAGUGGCGCACGGGUGAGUAAUGUAUAGAUAACCUGCCCUUAAGAAAGGAAUAACAGUUGGAAACGACUGCCAAUGCCCUAUAUGCCUUUAAUACAUAAGUAUGCAAGGGAAACGCUUUAGUGCUAGAGGAUGGGUCUGUAUGGUAUCAGCUUGUUGGUGAGGUAAUGGCUCACCAAGGCUAUGACGCCUAACUGGUUUGAGAGGAUGAUCAGUCACACUGGAACUGAGACACGGUCCAGACUCCUACGGGAGGCAGCAGUGGGGAAUAUUGCACAAUGGACGAAAGUCUGAUGCAGCAACGCCGCGUGGAGGAUGACGCAUUUCGGUGCGUAAACUCCUUUUAUAUAGGAAGAUAAUGACGGUACUAUAUGAAUAAGCACCGGCUAACUCCGUGCCAGCCGCCGCAGUAAUAC